GGGGAUAUAGCUCAGUGGUAGAGUGCUUGCCUCUCAUGCACAAAGCCCUGGGUUCAAUCCCCAGCACCA
rnacentral:tRNA from 1 species